rnacentral:lncRNA from 1 species
AUGGGAGUCUGUCCUCCCUUUUGCCCCAUCCCUGUAGAGAGCAGCGCAAGGAGGCCCCGCCGCAGCCGAGGUGUCCGGGUCUGUGUCCCACCAUCGCCACGUGCCGGGAGAGCUCCCCGCUGCAGCGGACCCGGGAGCAAGGUGCUGCUGUCGCCAUCCAGUGAUCCAAUGACUUCACCCUACACCCCACCUUGGCCGCCGGCACAGAGGACCACCUGCGGUGAAGGUGAGCCUGUGCUCAGAUGUGGGGCCUGGGGCUCCCUCCUAAGCCGGGCUCAGCACCAUACCUGGAUGCGGGUCGCACUGGUGUUCUGCAUCUACUGGGUGCCUGGGCCACUACACAAAGGGCACCGACGGUGUGUGUGGAGGAGGAGGAGAAGCGAGGGCAGAUCACGCUCCUGACGGGGCCCGUGUGUGUGAGAAGCGGAGUCCCCACACAGGUGUCCCUAAAACGAGCCUCGUACGUGUGCUCUGGUGCCACGUGCUGGUGAUGGCCACGUGGCAGGUGACACAGACCAGAACGCCCGCUGUGAUAGACUCUCAGCGGUGGGUGUUUUCAGGGUGUCCCGUGUAAUCCCUUCAACUUUCUGUGUGUUUGGAGUUUUUCAUGAUAAAUGUUGGGAUAGAGAAGGGCUGUGUAUAACUGACGGUCAACACAGAGCGUAUGAGCCACACACGGGGUUGAGUGAGGAAGCCUGCAGAUGAUACGCUCAUGGCCCCAGGACAGGGCGGGUGGGGUGGCCCGUGUGGCCAGGCAGGAGACACAGGCAGACACAGUAUGGUGGCAGCCUCACCAGCAGGUGAGUGUAGAACCCGCAAAGGCGGGGCUGUGGAGGGCCCGGCUCCCGCCGUCCGUCCUUCUGUGUGCUCCCUUCCAGAGUGGCUCACGGGGCCACCCAGCCAGUGGGGCCUGAGUUGCUUCUGUAACAGCAAGAGGCUCCAGACAAUGUGCCGGAAGCCUCGGCUUCGAGCUUGACUGCACUUGAGAGGGCCCCUCAGACCCUGGCGCUCAGCCGCCCAUGCACAUUCACUGAACUCACGCCCUUCCCCGGGCUGGCGCUUCCUCUCUGCUCAUUCUGGAACCCGCGUUUAAUCCUGGCGCCCCGUGUGCCCCACUUCGCCCCAGGCCCACCCCUCUGCGGGCGACCCCAAGGCCCGUAGCUCUUAGCAGAGUCGUUAGAGAGAAAUGGGCGCCAUAAGGCACACUUGGACUUGGGAGUGCACUCUGGUGGGCAGGCGUGACUGGCUCCACAGCCCAGAGUAAGUUCUUUAACGUCCUGGAGUGCCUGGGUCUCCACGCUUGCAAGAUACGCAUGGACUCCGUGAGGGGUCCCGAGUCCUGCUGCCGGUGUCCAGCUGGGACUGGUGCUCAGUAAAUGGUAACCCCCGUCCCCCAUCACACCUGCUUUGGACCUUGCUGCCCAUUAAUUAUAAUCCUCAUCUGAGGACACAGACUCAUCACUGAUCUAUGCGUUACCUGCUUCCUAAGUUUACUCGGUAUUUUAUUUAUUUU